rnacentral:tRNA from 1 species
GGGAUUGUAGCUCCAAUGGUAGAGCAAUUGAUUUUUAAUCUCUUGGUUGCAAGUUCGAAUCUUGCCAGUCUC